rnacentral:rRNA from 1 species
AUGGCGGAGACAGCGAUCGCAGCGGUGCUCUCCAAGUUCGGUGAGCUCGCCGCGAAUGAGGCAAAGGUGCUGAUUCAGGUCGGCGAUGACAUGAUGCUGCUGCGCGACCGGCUGGAGUGGCUGCAGGCCUUCAUCCGGGACGCCGACCGCAAGCGCCGGGCCGGCACCGACGGGCUAACCCGCGUGUGGGUGCGCCAGAGCGCGACGUCGCCUUCGAAGCGGAGGACGCGCUCGACGAAUUCUUCUACGAGGCGGGAUGACUACACGAAUUCUGUGGGCAUUGACGCUGAUGUGCAGAAUCUUGAGCGAAUGCUGCUUGGUGAAGCAGAACGUCAGCUAAUGUUCAUCUUCAUAGUUGGGGAAAGUGGUAUUGGAAAGAGAACACUUGGAAAAGUUAUGUCUUCAAAGCUCACUGGGGAGUUCCGCCCUUUAAUCCGGAUCACUGCGCCACAAGGAUGUACCCCGCAUCUUCUCUUCAAAGAAGUCUGGGAGCAUAUAAAAGACCAGCGCGUUGUGGAAGAAAAUGCAGACUGUGGCCAGCCAAGUGAAUCCAGCAGUAAACUAAUUGACAAGAUCCGUCACCUUCUUUUGGAGAGCCUGCCUGAUGACAAGAAUGGCAGCAGGGUGAUGCUGACGUUGGACGGCGAGAAUGAAGAGCUGGCAUGGCAUGCGAAUACCAUGAACAGGGAGGGCAGCACCAGCGGAAUCCACCAGUUGAGCCGUAUGAACAAAGAAAGAAGCGGAGAAGUAUUCCGUUCAAGGGCCUUCAAGGAAGCAGAGUCAGAUGAGGAGGGUUCCAAGAGCAAGUACGACCAGAUCGUGUACGAUAUAACAGGGGGCUAUCCCCUGGCAAUAGUGGUUCUUGCCGGACUCCUUCGAUUCAAAGAGAGGCCGGGUCAGUGGGAAGCUGUUCUGCAACAGCUUAGACCUGGCCGACCUGGGCCUGGAAUGGAAGCAGAAGACGACGAGGGCAAAGCAGAUUGUAUGGAGCGGGAGAUGAGCCCUCAUCCAACACAAGUUAACCUGUCCAGCACAAGAACCACGACGAUGGAGAGGGUCUUCUGGGCGAGCUUUGAAGAUCUCCCCAACGACCUCAAGUCCUGCUUCCUCUACUUUGCCGCUUUCUCCAAGAACAGGGGAUUCCAUGCCGACGAGGUGGUGCGGAUGUGGAUCGGCGAGGGCUUCAUCAAACCGCAAAAGGGCAAGACCGUAGAGGAGGUGGGCCACGGCUACCUCAAGGAACUGGUCUUGAGAUGCCUUGUUGACACACUGGAGAUGGUUGACGGUGACAUUAAGUCAAUCAAGGUCCACGCAAGCCUCCAUGUGUUGCUGCAGUCAGAGGUUCGCGAGGCCGGCUUUGUUGAGGUUCACGACACGUAUCAUGUCUUCGUGUCACCAUCAGUUCGCCGCCUCUCUUUCCUCAGUUUUGAUAGCAAACAAGUCAAGUUCACCAAGAAGCUCCCUAAGCUACGUUCUUUCAUUUGCCGCGUGGAGGAGCAGGAGACAGAAGAAGAAGAAGAGAGGAAUGAUCAUCGGUCUUUCCAUGAUCUCAAGUUUCUGCGUGGAUCCAAGUUCCUUCGUUUAAUCUAUGUGAAUGGUGUGAGGCUCCGUGAUUUGCCCCAUUGGAUCGGAGAAAUGAUUCACUUGCGGUACCUAUAUGUUCGCUGCAAGGACCUCAAGCAGCUCCCGGCCAGCAUUAAGGGGCUGCUCAACUUGCAGACUCUGGACAUAAAGGGGACUGAAGUCGAGGAGAUUGACCCAGACUUCUGGAAGAUAAAUACACUUCGACAUGUGCUCGCAGAGCAGCUCACGCUUCCAGAAACCCUAGAGGAAGAACUGGAAGAGCUGCAAACGCUGCAUGGUGUGAAGCCCCCCGGUAAAGGACAAUGGAAGCAACACAAUUGUCCACUGCGCAAGAUGACCAAACUCCGGUCGCUCAAGUUGAAAGGAAUCGAUCAUGCUAGACACAGAGAUGCACUGGAGAGUGCUCUUAAGCACAUGUGUCUCCUUGUCGACUUGACUCUCCAAGGUGAUGUCAUCCCUCAAUGCGUCUUCACUGUAGAUGGCCUCCAAUACCUUGAGACGGCAAAUCUGGAGGGCUCCAUGCGAUGGCCUCAGGACUCAUCCAAUGUCCGCAAGGACCGACCAAACCUAGCUCAGCUCACACUGGAAAAAAGCAAUGACGCGGAGCUGGGGAAGAUGGGCUUCACGAGUUUGGGUGCCAAACCAGUUUAUCGGCGUUCCAACAAACAAGGAGAAAGAGCUGCGGCAAACCAGAACGGUGAGCACCAUGAUGAAGCCAGCGCAAAGGAACAAACGGAAUACCAAGGUGAGGAAGCUGAAGCAAAACCGGAAGACCAAGGCCUUCAGGGACAGAUGAUGCAGACCAUCCCUCCGUCUGAGUCUCCAGUCCCAGAUCUCCUGCUGCCUGGGCCUGGGCCUGCCUGCGACGCUGCUGCUGCACACGGUCAAACUUCUACUCCUGAUGAUACAAGCGGCGGUCCGGACAAGCCUGCUCAAGAGGAGGAGAUGGACGCCUAG